rnacentral:lncRNA from 1 species
CACCUUCACAGCAACACGUUUCUCUUGUAUAUCAAGUUGGAAUUUCCUGCAUUCCAAUUUGUAUCCAUUUCUUCUUGCUACACCACUGUACACAGCAAUUAAGGGUAUGGCUCAAUCUUCUCUAUGCGUGUCGUAUUUGUUGUAUUUAAAUUACUAAAGUUGUUUAAGAAGUAAUUUAUAUAACUACAUACUCAUGUUACACAUAAAUAUAUUUCACCUAGUAAAAAGAACUGCCUACCCAUUCUGAUGGAAAUAACCUUUGGAAAUAAAUAUGAAUCAUGGCUCUCUUGAACUAGGAUCAUCAUUUUAACAUUACCUGUAAGCCCGGAUUUCCUUGUCUUCCUUUUUCUCCUUUUCGUCCCUGGAUACCACUUUCACCCUGGCUUCCUUUGUCCCCCUUUAUACCUUGGGUACCGGGAAUGCCUGGAUAGCCUGGUUCACCUGGGGCACCCGGUCCUCCUGGUUCUCCCUUGGCUCCUGAUGAUCCUGGUUUCCCCUGUAGACCAGGUUCACCUUUAUCACCCUUAGGCCCAGGAGCUCCAGGUAGUCCAAAUGAGCCUUCUGGUCCCAUCAAACCAGUUUCCCCCGGUGACC